AGAGUUUGAUCCUGGCUCAGGAUGAACGCUAGCGGCAGGCCUAAUACAUGCAAGCCGAACGGCAAGUUGAGUAGCAAUACUUGACCUAGAGUGGCGUAAGGGUGCGUAACACGUAUGCAAUCUGCCCACAACAGGAGGAUAGCUCCCCGAAAGGGGAAUUAAUACUCCAUAAGAUCACGCGAGGGCAUCUGAGAGUGAUUAAACUACAAGGGGUUGUGGAUGAGCAUGCGGUUGAUUAGCUAGUUGGUAAGGUAACGGCUUACCAAGGCGAUGAUCAAUAGGGGAGCUGAGAGGUUUAUCCCCCACACUGGCACUGAGAUACGGGCCAGACUCCUACGGGAGGCAGCAGUAGGGAAUAUUGGACAAUGGGCGAGAGCCUGAUCCAGCCAUGCCGCGUGCAGGAAGAAGGCCUUCUGGGUUGUAAACUGCUUUUACCAGGGGAUAAAAAGGCCAUGCGUGGCAAAUUGAAGGUACCUGGUGAAUAAGCCACGGCUAACUACGUGCCAGCAGCCGCGGUAAUACGUAGGUGGCAAGCGUUGUCCGGAUUUAUUGGGUUUAAAGGGUGCGUAGGCGGUUCAAUAAGUCAGUGGUGAAAUACGGCAGCUCAACUGUCGAGGUGCCAUUGAUACUGUAGAACUUGAGUACAGACGAGGUAGGCGGAAUUGACGGUGUAGCGGUGAAAUGCUUAGAUAUCGUCAAGAACACCGAUAGCGAAGGCAGCUUACUAGGCUGUAACUGACGCUGAGGCACGAAAGUGUGGGGAUCAAACAGGAUUAGAUACCCUAGUAGUCC
rnacentral:rRNA from 1 species